rnacentral:rRNA from 1 species
CUAUACAUGCAAGUCGAGCGGACAGAUGGGAGCUUGCUCCCUGAUGUUAGCGGCGGACGGGUGAGUAACACGUGGGUAACCUGCCUGUAAGACUGGGAUAACUCCGGGAAACCGGGGCUAAUACCGGAUGCUUGAUUGAACCGCAUGGUUCAAUUAUAAAAGGUGGCUUUUAGCUACCACUUACAGAUGGACCCGCGGCGCAUUAGCUAGUUGGUGAGGUAACGGCUCACCAAGGCAACGAUGCGUAGCCGACCUGAGAGGGUGAUCGGCCACACUGGGACUGAGACACGGCCCAAACUCCUACGGGAGGCAGCAGUAGGGAAUCUUCCGCAAUGGACGAAAGUCUGACGGAGCAACGCCGCGUGAGUGAUGAAGGUUUUCGGAUCGUAAAACUCUGUUGUUAGGGAAGAACAAGUACCGUUCGAAUAGGGCGGUACCUUGACGGUACCUAACCAGAAAGCCACGGCUAACUACGUGCCAGCAGCCGCGGUAAUACGUAGGUGGCAAGCGUUGUCCGGAAUUAUUGGGCGUAAAGCGCGCGCAGGCGGUUUCUUAAGUCUGAUGUGAAAGCCCCCGGCUCAACCGGGGAGGGUCAUUGGAAACUGGGGAACUUGAGUGCAGAAGAGGAGAGUGGAAUUCCACGUGUAGCGGUGAAAUGCGUAGAGAUGUGGAGGAACACCAGUGGCGAAGGCGACUCUCUGGUCUGUAACUGACGCUGAGGCGCGAAAGCGUGGGGAGCGAACAGGAUUAGAUACCCUGGUAGUCCACGCCGUAAACGAUGAGUGCUAAGUGUUAGAGGGUUUCCGCCCUUUAGUGCUGCAGCAAACGCAUUAAGCACUCCGCCUGGGGAGUACGGUCGCAAGACUGAAACUCAAAGGAAUUGACGGGGGCCCGCACAAGCGGUGGAGCAUGUGGUUUAAUUCGAAGCAACGCGAAGAACCUUACCAGGUCUUGACAUCCUCUGACAACCCUAGAGAUAGGGCUUCCCCUUUGGGGGCAGAGUGACAGGUGGUGCAUG